rnacentral:rRNA from 1 species
GAUCAUGGCUCAGGAUGAACGCUGGCGGCGUGCCUAACACAUGCAAGUCGAGCGAAGCACUUUGCUUAGAUUCUUCGGAUGAAGAGGAUUGUGACUGAGCGGCGGACGGGUGAGUAACGCGUGGGUAACCUGCCUCAUACAGGGGGAUAACAGUUAGAAAUGACUGCUAAUACCGCAUAAGACCACAGCACCGCAUGGUGCGGGGGUAAAAACUCGUGGUGGU